UGGAUGUCCCUUCUUAACCUUCUGAACGCAACCCAACCUCAGUUAGUUGAUUAACUGGGUUGGAUUCCGGUGAGAAGCGUAAGAAGGGAUCCCCACCC
rnacentral:ncRNA from 2 species